AGGCGCUCACAGGAGCUCACAGGCGCCCACAGGAGCUCACAGGUGCUCACAGGAGCCCACAGGAGAACUGACCUUUGGCACACUCACAGUUCACCAGCUUCUCCGGCUGAGAGGAAUCGCCAGGGGUCUUGCUGACUAAUGUCUUUGUUGCACAGUUGAAGGCAGCAUCCAAAGUUGCCGGUGACUUGGUGUGGACAUCUUGACUCCAUCUGCUGGUAUUCCAUCCAGAGAAGGCCACGUCAGCCUACCUGCCUGGUAGGAGAUCAAACCUCUCAUAGGGAAGGUGGUACAGGAACUUGACCUCAGUCUCUUGUGUCUCUCCAGAUUGCCUGGGCUACAGCCUCUGCCAGAGCAGGUGUGAAUCUGAGUCUGUGGAAAGGGCUGUGGUUACUGCCAUCAUGUCCCCACACUGUAUCUGAAUUAAGUGAACUCCAGCAAUGAAAAAAAGGAUACCACAGGAGAUAAGAUUUACAGACUUCUGUAGACGCGCUCAGCAGAACAGCACUGAUGAGCAAGCAAGAAAAAUCAACUCAAGUAUAGCAGAGACUCAGUCUGGAAGCGUAGGGCAUACGCCUGGCCUGGAGAGAGCAGAGCCAAGUGGUGCAGCACCUUAGGCCCCCGACCCUGGAGCACUGGAGAGCAGAUGCUCUGCGUUUGGGUAAUCCAGAGGACACCAAAAGGACUCGGCACCUCCCAGCCUCACUGCCACUGUUUACUUCCUCAACCUGUUGUCCUGUGCCCCUUCCCACUGACCACAGGCUUUUCUUCCCGGGAAGUCUUGCCACAUGCCCCCUCCUCUGCACAACUUAGAACCCAUCCCUCUCUGCUUGUCUGGCCCUGGACAGGAAUUCACUGGACUCAUGUUUUCUGUUUCUCAAACAGACUGAGCCCAGGGAUGGACCUACGAUGCUCUGCCCUGCUGGAAGCCACAGAAAAGUCACACCCAAGGAGGGAUGGGUGGAGCUGUCACAACAGCUGUGGGUCUAGGCUAGGGAAGUUGGCAUGGGUUAACAGUCACAGCAGGAGCCACUAAACCACUAAGCUCAUGGGACCUUAUGCCUCAGGCUCCGGCCACCUAACUCUCAGCUGGGGUCUUCUGCUCCUUUGCUUCUUGACGUUGGUAAACCUCAGAGAAGAGAAAACUGAAUGACAGAUUGGUGUGCUGUGAGCUCUUGCCCCACACCUGCCAAAGUAUACGCCUCAGCCCUUCUUUCAUGUCAUGGAUCCUUCUUUGCAUGUCGUGUCCCUUAUGUCAUGGAUCUUUCUUUGCAUGUCAUGUCCCUUAUGUCAUGGAUCUUUCCUCAGUGGUACAGAAUUAUUCUGCCUUCCCUGUAUGCCCUUCUGCUCUUAGGAAAUACUGUUCAUCAAGGCCUUGCUAUGAAGUUACUCUCUCAUCACUUCCUUCCCAUGAAAAGCACCCACAGCGGUGUGACUAGGAAGGGUGGUUGGCUGUUAAUAAUACAGUCGCUUGUGGGAAGGACUAUUGAAAGGGCUUCCACCAUCCUCUGAAGUCUCUCCUCCAAAUACAACCCAGAGAGCCAGUCUGCAUAUAUCAGCAGAUUUUUCUCCAUGGCAUGAGGUAACUCUGGUCUGUCCUGAUUAGGGGAGCUCUACAACAGCAGCAGAAAGGGCUGGAACCAAGAGCUGGGGUGAUGGAAGGGCAUCAGCAGUCAGAUCAAAGGCCUUUCGGGUGCCCAAGAAGGUCGCUGUUAAUUUACCUAGCUCACUGAGGGCAUCAACAUGAAGAUGCUGGCAAAGACCUGUUGGACGGCCUGCCACUCUCCUAUCUGGGAAACAGAAGAGUACCCAUUUGCACUCUCCCUUCUGUAGAAAAACAGAUCCAAUCAAGAUACUAGACUUUAUCGCUUCCUCCCUUUACACUCCUGCUAAAGCAAAACAAAGCAAAACAAAACAAAACACCAGGGCAUCAGCCGAGUCCCUGCCACAGGAUGCUGCUUGGCUUCGACAAUGAGGGUGAGAGAGGAACGCCGUGCGCCCAGGAGGCCUGUUUCAUUUCAGCUCCAUUUCUGUGCCCCCCACAGGCUAAGAUUCAGACCAUAUAUGUAACAACCGAGCCAUCGGCAUCAGGAAAUUCAAAAGCAGUCACUAUUCUGCUCUAACUGGGAGCAAUGAUCCAGGGAAAGUGUGAAGGGUUGUCGGGGGACUCACACACGCUCAGCUUCCAGGAGAAAAGCAGAGGGAGGUGGUCCUGGCUCCACACUCCCUGGGUUGUAUGGUUUGGGCAAGGCGCCUUAAUGGAGCUGGAGAGACACAUUUGCAACCCAGAAGGGCAUUACUCCGGUGGCUGACUAGUGCUCUCUUGCAAAUUGAAUUGCCUUUUCACCAGCAGGGGAAGGCAAGAGCUUGGGCUGCCCUCUGGCCACCACUGUUUUCUUCUUUCCAUUCCACAGAAAAUGGUUUUUCCCUACUAUACCACUGGCUAAUAAAUGAGGACAACAUACAUCCA
rnacentral:lncRNA from 1 species